GAGUUGUAAUUUGCAGAGGAUGCUUCGGGUGCGGUCCCCGUCUAAGUGCCCUGGAACGGGCCGUCAUAAAGGGUGAGAAUCCCGUCUGGGAUGGGCGGCCGCGCCCGUGUGAAGCUCCUUCGACGAGUCGAGUUGUUUGGGAAUGCACCUCUUAGCGGGUGGUAAAUUUCAUCUGAUGCUAAAUACUGGCCGGAGACCGAUGGCGCACAAGUAGAGUGAUCGAAAGAUGAAAAGCACUUUGAAAAGAGAGUUAAACAGCAAGUGAAAUUGUUGAAAGGGAAGCGUUGUCCACCGAACUCCCCCGGGGGGGUUCAGCCGGUACGUGAGCCGGUGUACUCCUCUCCUGACGGGCCAGCAUCGGUUUGUGCGGCUGGUGAAAGGCCCCGGGAAUGUAACACCCUCCAGGGUGCCUUAUAGCCCGGGGUGCCAUACAGCCUUUCAGGACUGAGGCCUGCGCUUCCCCNAGGAUGCUGGCUCCAUGGUGGUCAAUUUUCCUC
rnacentral:rRNA from 1 species